rnacentral:rRNA from 1 species
GCGUAAAGCGCACGCAGGGCGGUCUGUCAAGUCGGAUGUGAAAUCCCCGGGCUCAACCUGGGAACUGCAUUCGAAACUGGCAGGCUAGAGUCUUGUAGAGGGGGGUAGAAUUCCAGGUGUAGCGGUGAAAUGCGUAGAGAUCUGGAGGAAUACCGGUGGCGAAGGCGGCCCCCUGGACAAAGACUGACGCUCAGGUGCGAAAGCGUGGGGAGCAAACAGGAUUAGAUACCCUGGUAGUCCACGCCGUAAACGAUGUCGACUUGGAGGUUGUGCCCUUGAGGCGUGGCUUCCGGAGCUAACGCGUUAAGUCGACCGCCUGGGGAGUACGGCCGCAAGGUUAAAACUCAAAUGAAUUGACGGGGGCCCGCACAAGCGGUGGAGCAUGUGGUUUAAUUCGAUGCAACGCGAAGAACCUUACCUACUCUUGACAUCCAGAGAACUUAGCAGAGAUGCUUUGGUGCCUUCGGGAACUCUGAGACAGGUGCUGCAUGGCUGUCGUCAGCUCGUGUUGUGAAAUGUUGGGUUAAGUCCCGCAACGAGCGCAACCCUUAUCCUUUGUUGCCAGCGGUUAGGCCGGGAACUCAAAGGAGACUGCCAGUGAUAAACUGGA